rnacentral:rRNA from 1 species
UUAGCACGUAGGUGGGUUUGUAAGUCAGACGUGAAAGCCUUCUGUUCAACGGAAGAAUUGCAUCUGAAACUACAAACCUUGAGUGUAGGAGGGGAGAAUGGAACUUCUGGUGGAGCGGUGAAAUGCGUAGAUAUCAGAAGGAACGCCGGCGGCGAAAGCGAUUCUCUGGCCUAUUACUGACACUCAGUGUGCGAAAGCUAGGGGAGCAAACGGGAUUAGAUACCCCGGUAGUCCUAGCCGUAAACGAUGGGCACUAAGUAGAGGGAAUUACCGAUGUUCUCUCUGCCGUAGCUAACGCAUUAAGUGCCCCGCCUGGGGAGUACGGCCGCAAGGCUAAAACUCAAAAGAAUUGACGGGGGCUCGCACAAGCGGUGGAGCAUGUGGCUUAAUUCGAUGCAACGCGAAAAACCUUACCGGGGCUUGACAUGGUAGAAGUAGGAACCCGAAAGGGUAACGAACGGUAUCCAGUCCGUGACUAUCACAGGUGUUGCAUGGCUGUCGUCAGCUCGCGUCGUGAGACGUUGGGUUAAGCCCCCUAACGAGCGAAACCCUUGUUUUUAGUUGCCAGCGGGUUGUGCCGGGCACUCUAGAAAGACUGCCGUCGUCAAGACGGAGGAAGGUGGGGAUGACGUCAAGUCAUCAUGGCCCUUAUGCCCCGGGCUGCACACGUGCUACAAUGGCCGGUACAAACGGAAGCGAAGCCGAGAGGUGAAGCGAAUCC